AAUCACCCCGGAAGCAUUGCAGAUGUGGCUGCUGUGUCAUAUGUGUAUCAGUAGGUGACACAGAGAAGCGAGUCUGUGUCUAUGCUCAGUGCUCUGGCCAAUGGACAUCUGAAUGAUUAGUAAUCUAACAUU